rnacentral:lncRNA from 1 species
GGGGCGGGCCUGCUCAGGGAAGAGACAGCUCCGCACGGCGAGGGCCGGGGCUGCGCGGGGAGAGGUGGGCCUGUGAAGACGAGGGCCGGGCCUGCCCAGGUGAGGGCGGGCGGCUGCAGGGGAGGGGCGGACUUAAGCUGAGCCAGGUGAGUUGUGUGGUCCUAUGGCCACGGGUAGGCACUGGUCUCCAGGAUGGAGGUUGUGUGCCUACACCUCUGCGUGCUCACGCUUCCGUCGGCGGGUUCCUGCAGUGACUUGAGAAGGACGUCCAGCUUCAGGCUCCAGCCAGGUGCUUUAGCCCUGGGCUGUGUGGCUUCUUGGAUAAGGUCCGACGACUGCAUCGCAUGGCUUUUAGAAUCACGAUUCCAUGAUGCCAUGCUCUCAUGAAUGGUCCCAAACAGAACGUCCCCAGUAAACGGCAGGACAGGUCUCGUGCCCCGCACAGUUGUGCGGGCCCACUGAGCCCCCCCCCCCCACCUGCAUUUCGUGUCUGUAAGGACUACACGCCAUGCCCUUCUUAAACCUCAGGGAAUGGCUCAGGUGGGCAGAACUUGAGCAGUGGGCCUGCAGGGGCAUUUGGGAUUAAGCACACCUGGGCCCGGCAUCCGAGGGACUUGGGAGAAGGCAAGACACAAGUUUGCCCUCAGUUUCUCAGAGCCUUCACCUCCUCCCUUCUCUCAUCUCCCUCCUUUCUCCCCACCCCAGGUCUGUAAAGGGACUCAAGGCUUCCUGCCCCUUCUUCCAGGCUCUAAAGAAAGAGCAGUAAGUAGACAGGUGCAAUCCAUCUGAGCGUAGAAACGCUUUGGCAGCAAUGCAGAGCGUAAUCCUGCAGGGAAAAGCCACCAUAUCUACAAAAGCUCUCCAGAAUGAAGAGGAUUCUGCAGUUAACCACGUACAUCUUUAUUGAGAGAACCCGGAUGAACCAGGACGAGCCUCCGGAUGAACCAGUCUGCCGACCCCGUGCGUCAGCUCUGACUUCUGGCCUCCAGAACCGUGAGACAGUACGGUCCUGUGUGCCCCCCAUUUGUGGUACUUUGUUAUGAAGCCCUUGAAAACGAAUGCUGAGAUGUCAAGGUUCGUUGACCUCUGCAGGAAAAACAUGAUGUGGUUUAGCUGAAUAUGCUGUUUUCCAGGAUUGCAUGUCACUGACAAAAUACAUGCUGCAAAUUUUGCAAACCCCUUAUUUCUGAAUCCACCAUGAAGCGCAAGUGAUGACUGUUGGAACUGCAAAGAAACGCCUGAAGAUUAAAACGCCCCAAGAACCAGCUAUCAGGCUGGGCCUCUGACUCCUGCGCAAGGUCACCUCCUUGCUGAGGCAGAAAGGCGCCCCCACGGCGGCGGCGGCCUCCGCGUGGAGUCGCGGCUGCCCGAAGCCCUUCAACAGGACACGAAGCGACGUCCUGAAUGUUGGAAGGCGAUGCAUCGGAGGCUGCGCACCAAGGGUCAGUGCCGGGUGGAAAUGAUCAAACGAGGAGAAGGAAGGAAAACUUGGCACCUGCCAAAGACGGCAACUCAAGCUCCCGUUCCCUUGUGAGUGAUUUGGUAGCUUGCAUAACGAAGCCACCACCAGGCAGAACCAUCCAGCUCAAGGUUCCACGUUUGACCUUGGAUCUGCUCCAUGGUCCUGGAUUACAGGCUCUACAUGAGAAGGCACUUUGUAAUACUUCUGGAAUUGGCUUCAAGGUCGGGGUGCCCCAUGUUCAUUGUCAUUCUUUCGUUCGUAUGUUUUUUUGAGCGCCUAGGAUAGGCUAUGCACUUGGCUGCGGCUAAAUUUUGGGUGAAGAUUUAGAAGUUAGCUCUUUGGGCAGAGAUGAAAGGCAGGGCCCUGCAGUUAUGGACGCUCUGGCCCAGUUAAAAUUAAGGUGUCCGCGGGGUGUGCCUCCAGGGCAGGCUUGGGGAGAACCCUUUGUCUUGCCUUUUCCAGCCGCUAGAGGACGCUCCUGGGUCUCCCUCCAUCUUCAAAGGCAGGAGUGGCUGGUCCAAGCCUUUCCUCUGAUGCCAUUUCCCUGCAUCUGAUGCCUCUGCCUCUGCUUCCCUGACUAAAGACCCUGAUAAUUACACUGGGCCCUCCCUUAGGUCAAGGCCAUCUGCCUGGCAACCCUAAUUCUUCCCUGACACAAACCACAACAGACUCCCAGGCUCCGGAGACCAGGAAGUGGCACGUUUGGGGCCAUUAUGCUGCUUAAGGCAAUGCUAGAAUCAGUCACUUCCUGAAUUAUGCGAUGCCAGGGGUCUUCACAAAGAAAACAUUCAGUUGUUAAAAUUCAUGUCUUUCGAAUCUGUUGUUGAAGGUUUAGAAUAAAAUUGUCUGGUUUCUAUUCCUAAAAA